UGAUGGGAGCUUGCUCCCUGAUGUUAGCGGCGGACGGGUGAGUAACACGUGGGCAACCUGCCCUAUAGCUUGGGAUAACUCCGGGAAACCGGGGCUAAUACCGAAUAAUACAAUUUAGCUCCUGCUAGAUUGUUGAAAGAUGGUUCUGCUAUCGCUAUAGGAUGGGCCCGCGGCGCAUUAGCUAGUUGGUAGGGUAAUGGCCUACCAUGGCAACGAUGCGUAGCCGACCUGAGAGGGUGAUCGGCCACACUGGGACUGAGACACGGCCCAGACUCCUACGGGAGGCAGCAGUAGGGAAUCUUCCACAAUGGACGAAAGUCUGAUGGAGCAACGCCGCGUGAGUGAAGAAGGUUUUCGGA
rnacentral:rRNA from 1 species